GCCGGCAGCCUCUGCAUCUCCACCCUGGGCCUGUGGGACCACGCGGGGCUCUCAGACGGCUUCCCACUGGCUGUGGGCUGAAGACAGGAGGGAGGUGCGCAGAGAUGAGGAUGAGGUGCCCUAGGAGGGGCCCCUCUCCAGCCUGGAGUGUCCACUGCAAGUGGAGUCCUAGACGGCGGUGGGCAGCCAGUAGUCACUAAAGAGUCUGACACGACAUGUCACAAGCCCUGCCCGGAACCCUGUUCCCACAAAUGGUGGGGAAGGACCACCCCUGGGAGUAUUUCCUGGGAGCCUCUAAGUGCAUCUGCGGAGAAGGCUGGAAAGCAGGGCCCUGCUGGUCCAGAAGCUCUGACCAGCGGGAAGCUACUGGAGCCCAGCGUGGUCCCGCAGGCCCGGGGUGGAGACUCAGGGGCUGGUCGGUGCCACUCGUGGUCCCCCAGGCCAGAGCAGCCCAGGCCUCUGCUGGAAACUCAAGCGCUCUCUGAUUUAAAUGAAGACGCCUUGAAGAGCUCCGGCUGUCCUGGAUGGAUGAAGCAGCAUAGGCAUGACUUGGAAGGAUGUGCGGUGGAAGGGGGGUCGCUUCACUGCCAAGAAACCCUUCCUGAGUCUUCUGGAAAUUUCAGGAAAGGCUGCUCAUCCCAGGAGGCUGAAAAAAGCAUGUUGGUAGUGAGAUGUGGAAGGCCACGCAGCUGUAGUGCACUCACUGUCGCAGCCUAACGGUGCCACACGGACCCGUAAGAGGACGCACAACUGUCAGCUGACUCCGUCACUGGGAAAAACAACACGACAGGGUCUCACUCUGCUGCCUAGGCUGCAAUGCGGUGGCACGACCAUGGCUCAGUGCGUCCUCAACUCCUGGGCUCAAGUGAUCCUCCCACCUCGGCCUCCUGAGUAGCUGGGACUACAGUUGCACACCACCAGAUCCGACUAAUUUGCAGUUCUGUCCGGCGUACAGUGUGAGAUGGGAAUCAACUUUUGUCUUCAUCCAGAUGGGGUUUUAAAACCUUACAAUGCUGGCCGGACGCGGUGGCUCAUGCCUGUAAUCCCAACACUUUGGGAGGUUGAGGCAGGUGGAUCACCUGAGGUCAGGAGUUCAAGACCAGCCUGGCCAACAUGGUAAAACCCAUCUCUACUAAAACUACAAAAAUUAGCCAGGCAUAGUGGCGAGUGUCUGUAGUCCCAGCUACUCGGGAGGCUGAGGCAGGAGAAUCGCUUGAACCCAGGAGAUGGAGGUUGCAGUGAGCCAAGCAAGAUCAAGCUACUGCACUCCAGCCUGGGCAACAGAGCGAGACUCCAUCUCAAAACAAACAAACAAACAGAAAAACUUUACAAUGCUGAUAAACUUAAAAAUUAUGAAACACAGCUCUUCUUGUCCUCCUGGGGCGCCCCCCAUCACCCCCAUCACAGCCCAGCCUUCUUCUGCUCCUCUCUGUUCUGAGGGAACUUCCCAUCCUUGUCUUUUUAUGGCCGUCUCAGCAUUUUCCCAGGUGUGUGGCUGUCCCUAAGUUAACCCCGGUUUAGCACACGGGAUGUGAUGCUGAGUGAUGGGAGUUCCUCAGAUAAAAGUGGCGGAUCUUCUUUGACUCAUCUUUUCCUUCCUCCCUCUCUAUCUCAAAUUAGAGUGAGAUCAAAUAUAGUGAAAAUGUUACUAGAGACUUUGGGUUUUAAAUCUCUGUAAACCCAGUGAAACACACUAUUUCUGGGGUGUGCACGAUGUGGUCAGUUAGUUACAAAUGCCUUUUUAUCUAGUGAGAGGUGUUUGGGCAAUCCAUGUGCACACAGAGGAGCGUUUCUGGUGAUUUGAUCAAAUCCAAGUGAGCUAGCUCGUUAGUACCUGUGGCAAGUUUAGAACUUCUGAACUCACAAACAUAUUAAGAAAUUUCCUAGGUUCACAGUGAUUUUUGGUAAACAUGAAUUUAAGUACCAAAAGAGGCAGAAUAAUAGUUUGCAAAGUUGUGUUUCCUUUGAGCUUCUGACUCAAAAGUUACAUCAAAGAUGUCCCUGCCUACCCUUAAUAUUUAAGUAAUGGAAUAAAGCUUAAGGGCCCCGAGACUCAGGAGGAUGCCCACAGGGAGAGGCAGGUAGCGCAGCACCUGGCAUUUAGUGGCUCAGCCCUGGAAUGCUAGAGCCUUGGGUUUUCCUUACAAUUGGGAUGGGAUUGGCCACACCUAUCAACAAUUUCUGUUCACUAGCCAAUUAUAAGAAGUUUAUGCAUGCCUAGACCAUUAAAAAAAAAGAAAAGAAACGUUCGGGGGGCCUGACUUUGUUAGCAUGGCCAAAUGAUCUGUUUUUAAUGUAAAUAUUUUGCUACAUUAAAGUUAUCAAAUCAAAG
rnacentral:lncRNA from 1 species